UUUUUUUUGCUCCGUGGAAAAAAACUAAUUUCAUUUGAGCGUGUAAUGUUUUGUUUGCGGUUAGGGAAAAAUAAAGAAAUCAAAUGGGCAAAGUGCAGGACGCUUUCUUUCGUUGUUUUCCGCUCUUUUAAGUAAAUAAUGUUUGAUCAUUGGCUGCUGUGCCGUGUAAUGGUGGACUUUCCGGAGGGUUACUGUCGGAGUAGUUCUGACUAGAGUUGGGCCUUUAGAACAGGAACCUUUCAAAUGAUCGGGAUCUUCUAUGUGAGUGAAUGAUUAGUAUCUAAUUUGACCGUUUUAGUUAAAAUAUUGACUUGUUGACUCUUUUCAGAAAUAUGAAACUAAUUGAAAACCGCUGCUUGUCAUUCAUCGUGACCGUUUCCAAAACGGAAUAGCACUUGCCAUUCGUCUGUAACAUCAAUCGAAUAUAAUAAGAGCUGAAACAGGUGCAUACUUUCGGAAGUUCCUGAUAAUGGUUAUUUUAAAUCAACCCAAGUCCUGAAACGGAUGCCGGAAGAUAGCGAUAGCAACAGGGCCGCCAUUAUUACCACGAACUCCACUACUCCUAAUCAACAGCAACAUGAUCGACAAGUGGCGUGAAGUGGCUUUGAAAACCCAACAUCAGAAUUAAAUCAAAUCUAAAAUAAAAUUAAAAUCAAAUUGAAAUUGAGUUGAGUUGAGUAAAAAUUGAGUUUAAACUAGAUUAAAAUUCAAUUGAAAUCGAAUUAAUAAAAUAAAUUGUAUAAAAUUAAAUGUAUUGUAAUUAUAUUGUAAUAUUUGAGUAAAAUG